rnacentral:sRNA from 1 species
AUGAAGGCCACGGGGGGUAGGAACCGGUCACCUUCUCGCAGGACGUUUGACAGGGAAGAUGCUGGAGUGGAGUUUGCUUGGAGAAAGGACCGGUCUGGGAAGGUCAGUCAAGAAGCCACUGGGGACGGCGGAGUAGCAGUGCAGAACCCUAGGGAGCAAGACGAGAAACGUAAAGAAGGCAACUGCGAUAAACAGGGAACAGUUUUGGAAGGGGCACACGUGGCACCAGACAUUACGGGCUGUGUGGAGAUCUUUACGGAGGACAUGGGAUCUGCUGUUGCUGCGGUUCAAAAUUCAAACAAAAGGGAUGUGGUUGAAGUGGAUGACUCCAUGCACGUGCUACCUAUGGACCCGGGGUGUGGGCUUCAAAGCCCAAAGCAAAAAGCAACUUGGGCUAGGCUUAAACGGAUGGAAAUUGGGCCGGUGGAGUUCUUUAAAGAGGGAGCAAAGUCUGUAUUGGGAAAAAGAAUUAAUAUUGAUAUGGAGAGCAGUGCGGUAGAUGUUGACCAGCAUGCAGUGGUGAAAAGGGUAAAGAGCAGUGGUGAUUCAAACUCAGACGAAAUGGCGGGGGUGCCCAUGCACCCUUGCCGAACACAAUGAAGCUUCUAAGCUGGAACUGCCAAGGGCUUGGGAACUCUUGGACAGUUCAAAGCCUUCACAAGUUAGUGAGGGAUCAAGUUCCCACAGUCUGUUUCUUAAUGGAGACUAGACUGGAUAAAGAGGGUUUUAAAAAACAUGGUAGAGAGUUGCCUUUUCCAAAUAAGUUUAUUGUUAAAAAACCUUAUUCUGGGGGAGGUUUGGCAUUGCUAUGGAAGUCUGAAGUUAAAUUAGAAGUUAUCAAUUUUACUGAAAAUCAUAUAUUGGCAAGGGUGGUUGAGGAAGAUGGGUUUACUUGGUUUUUCCCAGGUUUCUAUGGGUGGCCGGAAGCGAGUGAAAAAAAGAAGUCGUGGGUGUUAUUAUCUCAUAUUUCUUCUUUUGUGGAGGGGCCUUGGUGUUGUGUUAGAGAUUUUAAUGCGAUUCUUCAUCAGUCAGAAAAGCAAAGCAGACACCCUCCUCAGUACAAACAGAUGGAAGAAUUUCAAGCAGCUUUGGAGGGGUGUAAUUUAUUUGAUUUGGGUUUUCAAGGGUAUAAAUUCACAUGGAACAAUAAAAGACCGGGUGUAGCAAAUACUAGAGAACGGCUGGAUCGAGCUGUUGUGAACCGUGAGUGGAAGGAAAAAUUCUCAGCUAGCACUUUAAUUCAUGGGUUUAGCCAUGCAUCUGAUCAUGUCCCGCUUUUUCUCCAUAUUAGAACUCAUAGGGAUUUUAGAGGAGGAGGACCACGCCGAUUUAGAUUUGAAGAAUCUUGGUUGAUGUGGGAUGAGUGUGAAGAGGUGGUCUCGGAUUCUUGGGUCCAUUCAGGUGGAGGAGUUACUGGUUUAGGGGCAACUGUGGAGAAAAUUAGGAGUUGUGGUGCAGGUUUGUUGGCCUGGGGUUCAUCCAAAGCAACCCCUAAUACGGAUGAGAUAAAACAAUUAACAAAGAAAAUUGAGAGAAUGCAUGAAGAAGAGUUAACAGAGGAGAGGAGAGAGGAGGUUUUAGCUGACAGCAAAAAACUGGAUGACCUUCUACUUAAACAAGAAAUUUUUUGGGCACAAAGGUCUCGGGUAGCCUGGCUAAAGCAUGGAGACAGAAAUACAAAAUUCUUUCACUCAAAAGCUUCCCAAAGGCGUACCAGGAAUUUUAUUCAUGGCAUCAAGAACCAUCAUGGUAAUUGGGUAGAGGACACUUCUGACGUGGCGAAGGUGGCUGUGGAUUAUUUUGAGACCAUAUUUCGUUCAGGUACAUGCGAAAGGAUGGAGGAAUGUCUUCACGCUGUUCCUCAAAGGAUGUCUACAGACAUGAGGGUGGAGUUGUCCAGGCCGUAUACUGUGGAGGAGGUGAAAGCAGCAUUAUUCCAGAUGGGGCCUACAAAAGCUCCAGGUCCUGAUGGUAUGAAUGCUCUCUUUUAUCAAAAGUUUUGGCAUAUUGUUGGUAAUGAUGUUAGCUCUGCUGUGUUGGAUUUUCUGAAUUCUGGAAUUAUGGUACCUGAGAUUAAUUAUACUCAUCUGGUUCUUAUCCCUAAAAUAAAGUCUCCUGAAAAGAUGACUGAUUUCAGACCUAUUAGUUUGUGCAAUGUUAUCUACAAAAUAAUUUCUAAAGUGCUAGCUAAUAGACUGAAGAUUAUAUUACCUCAGAUGAUAUCUCCUACCCAAAGUGCUUUUGUGCCAGGCCGUCUCAUCACUGAUAAUGUAUUGAUAGCCUAUGAAACUCUAAAUGCUAUGAAAGGGAGGAAAAAGGGGAAAAAAGGCGCUCUAGCUUUGAAAUUGGAUGUCAGUAAGGCAUAUGAUCGAGUUGAGUGGGCCUUUUUGCGGGGUAUGAUGGUGAGGCUGGGGUUUCCUAAUGUUUGGAUUAAUAGGGUGAUGAGUUGUGUCACCACACCUUCCUUCUCAGUUCGCAUUAAUGGGAAAGAUUAUGGAAAUAUUAUCCCAUCAAGAGGGCUCCGUCAAGGGGACCCUUUAUCACCUUAUUUGUUUCUUUUGUGUGCAGAAGGGUUUACAUCUUUGCUUUCCAAAGCUGAAUCUGAGGGGCAGAUCCAUGGUGUUCAGAUAUGUAGAAGGGCGCCUUGUAUUUCUAAUUUGCUUUUUGCAGAUGAUUCCUUAAUUUUCUGUCAGGCAAACCAAGAAGAAGUACAGGUAGUUUCAGAUACGUUGCAGUUGUAUGCUGAAGCUUCUGGACAAUGCAUUAAUCUGGAGAAGUCGUCAGUUUAUUUUAGUGGAAACACAGCUGACAGUGACAAGCAAUGGAUUAAACAGGCUUUGGGAGUUCAGGAAGUGGAUAGGUUUGAUACAUACUUGGGUCUACCGACUUUGGUUGGUCGAGCCAAGUACCAAACAUUUGCAUACCUGAAGGAGCGGGUCUGGAAAAAACUUCAGGGUUGGAAGGGGAGAAUGCUUUCUCGUGCAGGAAAAGAAGUUUUAAUCAAAGCUGUGGCACAAUCAAUUCCAAUGUAUACUAUGGGUGUGUUCUUGUUACCAGCUAAGCUUUGCAAUGAUUUAGAUGCUCUCUGUGCGAGAUUUUGGUGGGGGCAGACUGGUGAUGAACGGAAAAUUCAUUGGAGAAGUUGGAGUUUUUUGACACAACCAAAGAAAGUGGGUGGUAUGGGAUUCCGGGAUCUUAGGAGCUUUAACUUAGCUAUGUUGGCUAUGCAAGGGUGGCGGAUGUUACAGGACCAGAACUCACUUUUAUCUCAAUGUUUUAAGGCCAAGUAUUUCCCGAGAUGUAGCUUUUUGGAGGCGACAGAUUGCCCAAACAGCUCCUAUGUUUGGAAGAGUGUGCUGGCUGCUCAACAAAUUCUGAAAAAGGGGUGCUUUUGGAGGGUGGGAACCGGUUCCUCAAUCCGAGUGUUGGAAGAUAAAUGGAUACCGAACCAUCCAGGUAAUAAAAUCCUAUUUCCUACUGAUUAUGAUGAAUGGGAAUGGAGGGUCUCGGAUUUAAUUGAUUGGAGGGUGCACCAAUGGGAUAGAGAUAGAAUUUUUAUGGUUUUCAACCAAUUUGACGCGGAGGCCAUUCUUCGGAUUCCGUUGAGCCGAAGGCAAGUGCAAGAUAGGGUGGUGUGGAUGCAUUGCCGUAAUGGGAAGUAUGCAGUCAAAUCUGGGUAUCAGGUUGCUCGCAUGUUAGCUGAAGAUGCAGAGGGCAGGGAAGAAGCUUCGGAACAAAGGGCGGAUUAUCAUGUUUGGUCUCAGCUCUGGAAACUCCGGGUGCCAAACAAAAUCAAAAUUUUUGGAUGGCGGGCUUGCCUCAAUAUUUUGCCAUCAAAAGUGAACUUAGCCUGCAGGAAAAUUCUGACAGAUGCUACAUGUGGAGUGUGCCAAAGUUAUCCAGAAACUUGUCUACAUGCAAUAUGGGAGUGCAGCGCCGCUCAGGAUGUUUGGGCUAGGUCUUGUGCUCCAAUUCAGAAGUGUGGUGGUGAGAUGGGGGAGUUUUUACAUUUGUUUCAGUUUAUGAUGUCCAAACUGUCGCUGGAGGAGUUGGAGAAUUUUCUGGUUCAUUGCUGGCUUAUUUGGCACCGUCGAAAUACUCUGUUACACGGUGGGGUAAUGCAGCAUCCUGGGCAACUGAAUCGGAGAGCCACGGACUUCUUGAAGGAGUACAGGGACGCUCAAGGCUUUCUUGCAGCAAGGCCGUUACUACCUGAUGUUCUGCAGAACUGGAAGCCCUCAACGGAUCAGUUGUGCAAACUGAAUUUCGAUGCCGCUGUGUUUGAAAAUGGAUCGGGAGUAGGAGCUGUGAUCCGUAAUGCAGCUGGAGAAGUCAUGGCAGCACUAUCAGCUAGGGGAGCAGCAGUGAGUGAUAGUGAGGAGGCGGAGGCUUUAGCAUGCAGAAAAUCAAUGGAGUUUGCGAUAGAUGUGGGUUUCUUGGAUUUGAUAAUCGAAGGGGAUAAUGUAGCGGUUAUCAGUGCUGUGUCUUCCUCGUCUCCAAACUGGUCUCGCCUGGGUGUAAUUUAUGAAGAUAUUGGCUGUCUCGCAGCAGGACUUCGCCAUGUGGUUUUUAAUUGUAUUAAACGUAGUGCAAAUUCUGUGGCCCACUCCUUAGCACGUUAUGCCAAUGUAUUAGAUGAAGAAGUUGUGUGGCUGGAAGAAUCUCCACCACCAGCUCGUAGUGCUUUGUUGUUUGACUCUGCUUUUCUAAAUGAAUGAAGUUUGAUUGGGUUUUCAAAAAAAAAAAAAAAAAAAAAAAAUUUGUUUUAGCUGUAAAACGUAACUAAAUACCACAACACACCAAGAAGAAAAAGAAUUCCAUCCAUGAAUACUUUUGCUUGAAAUAUUUGUUUUUGGUAUAAAAAAAAUGCAGGAGUAGCGUUGAGAAUGAUGGCGGACAAAAAGGAUUUAGCUAGAGCUCGUGGGAGGCAGCAAGAGACUGUAUUGCAUGUGUUAGCUAGCAAGCCUUAUGCAUUUUAUAGAACAAGUCAAUCGGGAAUGUUAAGGAGACUCAUGUCACUCAUCAGUAAUUCAUGUGAGUUAUUCUGACUUUGAGAUUCUUAAAUCUUGCACGGUGAUAUAUUCCUUGAUCAUGUGGUAUGACAUACAAAGACAUAUGAGUCAAAUACUUUUGUAUAUGGAAAGUGAAAAAGACAAGUUCAAGUCGUUGAUUGAUUUAAGUGGAAUUAAAUCAAUUUUUCACAUUAAUUGAUCAUAUAUUCCAAAUGAUUUUUGGUUAAUUACCACAACAUAAAAAAUCAUAGAAUAAAGCAAUAAAGCAAUAAAGCAUAAGAUAAACAACAUAGGUGAUUUGACGGCGAAAUGAAAAACAAAUGAACACAUCCAAAGGAAAAAAAAAAAAAAAAUCCAAUAAUUAAACCCUAAACCUAAAAAAAAUCACUAUUAGAAAUAUUAAAGUUUUACAAUUGAAUAUACUCAUAUUUCUAAUUUUUACCCGGUAGUACUUACAAACAUAACCCGACAAUCUACUACAGACUGCUUAGACUCUUUUAAUUUGAAAUUUUCCACAGAAACUGUGCCUAGUCUUCUAGGACCAAAUAUACUCAUAUCCCUUUCCUGAGCUAAAUAUUGGCUAACAUGGGAUUUCUUAGCACUUUUAUGAUACUUAACACAAUCCCCAAGAAUUUUACUAUAUGCAGUUGAAAGCCGUCAUCUUCAUUAGAAACAUCUUGAUUUGAGUUGUCAUGUUACUAUAUUUUAUGACACCGAAGUUUAUCCGUGAUAAAUAGGAGUCAAGGAUCACACGCUCAAAAAAUUAAUACUACACAAAGUAAACCUGCUUUGAUACCAAUUAAAAAGAAAUGUUUUGACCCUUUUGAUUAAUUAUGUAUCAUAUUAAACAAAUUAAGCCAAUUAACACUCACGUGAUCAAAUUUGAACAAGUUAAAACACCACAAGUUAGUAAGUAUGUCACCAAUAUCAUAGCACUAAAUAGUAAAAUAAAUGACACAUCUAUAUGAUGAUGAAAUGGAAAACGGAUGGAUAGCAUUUAAAGAAAAUACCACUACGUACAAAGGUUAACCCUAAAUCCAAAAAUGAAUCCAUAAAUCGAAUUGAAGUUUUACAAUCUAAGAUAUAUCCACAACUCAAGAUUUUACCUAGUAGGUAACUUACUGAUGUACCCCGACAAACUUGGAAGAUUUGAAUUUCGUUGCAAACGUACUGUGAUAGGAUUUGUGAAUCAGCCUUGAUUCAACUAUGACAGCAAUAACACACCGUAGGAGAUAUUUUUGUUUACUCUCAUAACACACAAAUUAGAAAGUUGAGGCUAGGAUUUUAUAUUUCAUUAGAUUUUUAAAGUUUGACUCAGUAACCUCAACGAAGUCUUGUAUAAUAGGCCCUUAUAUAGAAGAAAUUAUUAAGUCCUGGUGGAUAAGUGAUGUGGUCCACAAUUCCAUUAAAAAACUUCCACUUGUUUAAAAUUGCUAAGUCAGUAAUUAAUUUUUGUUUAAAAAAAAUUUCUAAAUAACAAUUUUAAAUAAGUGGAAGUUUUUUAGUAGAAUGGUGGACCACAUCACUUGUUCACCAUGUGAAUCUUAUAAUUUCUCCUUAUAUAGGUGCUCCACUUAGGGUUGAAAAACACACGGCACCGACUUUAUUAAAAUAUGUCACUUAUUGAAUUCUUGAUUCUUUAUUGAUUGAGAUACAACCAGUCAUCAGUUGAGAAUCAUCUAUCGAUUAAUUGAUAUGCAAUUGAAAGGCUUUUGAAGCCUCGAUUUCAAUAGUGUCCAUCAAAUGACUAUCUAAUUCUGAAAAUGUGUCUUCUCUGAGUUGCAUCUUUGACUCUUAAUCUUGAAUGUUUGAUAAUCAAAACAGAUCGAAUGACUAUCUAAAUUAUGAAAAUUUGUCUUCUUUGAAUUGCAUCUUUGACUCUUAAUCUUGAAUGUUUGAUAAUCAAUACUGACUCAGUUAAAGUUACAAUGUCAUGAAAUUUGCCAACCUAAAACCUAAUAAUCCAUUCAUAAGGAAUAUGUAUUCCUUGUAAAAGCACACAAAAAGGAAAGAGAAUAACUAUUUCAUUACAAUGUACUAAACAUGCCACAAUGGCACAUGUACUAGUAACACAUUCACUCUUUAUACUCUAGCUAUUAUUUGAUUCCUUUAAUAAAUUAAAUUUCAUUGAGGUAUGUCUACUUUCUUUUUCACUGUCAAUUCCAGGGUCGAAUUCAGAACAGGAAAACUCAACACAAUCUCAAGCCAAUAAACUGUUGAAAGAAUGUCUUCAGUAUUACAAAGAUGUUGUUACGAAUUUUAAUGACUUCAAAGAGAUUCCAGAAGCUCUGUUUGCUGCGACAGAAGUAGGCAACGUUGAGUUCUUGGUCAAGCUUAUUCGUUUUGACUUUAGUCUAUUAUGGGAAGUAAAAAAUGAUAAAAGGAUAUUUCAUAUUGCUGUUGAGAAGCGCUAUGAAAACAUCUUCAAUUUACUUUAUGAGUUAGGCCCAAUUAAAGAUCUAAUAGUAGAUAAAAAAGAUGGUGGUGGAAACAACAUGUUGCAUUUAGUUGCAAGAAAGGCUCCUCAAGAGAAGCUAAAUGCAAUAUCAGGAGCAGCUCUUCAAAUGCAACGUGAACUUUUAUGGUUCAAGGUACUUAUUCAUAUGCUUUGAGUUGUAGGUGUUAAACCAUCUCAUAGAAUGUUAACGCAUGUUUCGACAUAGAUUUAGUUUCUACUUAAAUUCUUCUGCUUUUGGACUAACAGUUCUCUCAAUGUGAUAUUUCCUAUGAUUUGCAAUGGAAGGAGGUGGAAAAGGUUGUAAGCCCUACAUUCAAAGAAAUGAAAAAUGACGACGGGGAGACACCCUAUGUUUUAUUUGAGAAGAGCCACGAGACGUUAAGGAAGGAGGGAGAGGAGUGGAUGAGGAAUACAGCUAACUCAUCUAUGGUGGUUGCUACACUAAUCGUCUCUAUAAUGUUUAGUGGCCAACCAACGGAUGAAUUAAAACUCAAUCCUAAUCUUCUUCUGGUCUAUUCAAUUUCAAGUGCAAUAGUAUUAUUUUGCUCAUCAACAUCCCUUAUAAUGUUCUUAUCCAUCCUUACCUCGCGUUAUUCAUAUGACGACUUCCUUGUAUCGUUACCUAUUAAGUUGAUAAUUGGAGUAACGUCACUCUUCAUCUCAAUUGCUGCUAUGAUGGUCGCAUUUUGUGCAUCCUUCAGUUCGAAAUAUCACAAUCAUCAUGGAUUUCCAUUGAUUGUUGUUCUGUUAGUGGUAUUUACUUUCGUGCCAGUAUUAUUUGUGCUGCUAAAGUAUCGACUAUUAGUUGAUAUAGUCCAAUCUACCGGUUUUCGGUUACAGCCACAUCAACGUGUACUUUUCGAGGAGGUAUCUAAGGCUCCACUAUGUGGCGGGUGUCUUCCAUCCCAUAGAUCCCACGCACCUGGGAAUGUUCCGAGUGUCUGA